UACGGAGGGCGCAAGCGUUGUUCGGAAUCACUGGGCGUAAAGCGCGUGUAGGCGGUUUGGCAAGUCGGCUGUGAAAGCCCGAGGCUCAACCUCGGAACUGCAGCCGAAACUGCCGGGCUCGAGUCCCGGAGAGGGUGGCGGAAUUUCCGGUGUAGAGGUGAAAUUCGUAGAUAUCGGAAGGAACACCAGAGGCGAAGGCGGCCACCUGGACGGUGACUGACGCUGAGACGCGAAAGCAAGGGGAGCAAACAGG
rnacentral:rRNA from 1 species